rnacentral:rRNA from 1 species
GCGCGUAGGUGGUAGUGUAAGUCUGGGGUGGAAUCCCAGGGCUCAACCCUGGAACUGCCUUGGAAACUGCAUUACUUGAGUCAGUGAGGGGAGGGUAGAAUUCCUGGUGUAGCGGUGAAAUGCGUAGAUAUCAGGAGGAAGGCCUGUGGCGAAGGCGGCCCUCUGGCGCUGGACUGACACUGAGGCGCGAAAGCGUGGGGAGCAAACAGGAUUAGAUACCCUGGUAGUCCACGCCCUAAACGGUGGGCACUAGGUGUAGGGCUCGUAAGGGUUCUGUGCCGAAGGGAAACCAUUAAGUGCCCCGCCUGGGGAGUACGGCCGCAAGGUUGAA